AUGAGAUGUUUAUCGCUUUGAAAUCACGUUCAAGAAGUCUCAUUCAGCACACAUCGCGAUACUUUCCAUCAGUUUGCAAGAGCCGCAGGUUGGGUGAGUUAUACAGUCUAUGGUGAGUAGUAGUAAAUAUGCUCUUUUAAUGCCUGUCAUGAAACGUAUUCUGUCUUCUUUAUUAAUCAGAUGAGCGCCUUGUGUUAACUCUCUGUAUUACAUCGGUCAUCCGAGGCUGUCUUUGAGUUUCAUUGUGUUUAACUAAAUGAACACAGCUGCUAACUGGUUAAACUCUAUCGGUCACGUGACGUGACGUGACGUGCCACAGACCUGGGAUCCGUUUUAUAUUCAUUUCAGGUUCAAAGAUCUGAAAAGACGUAAAGUAAGCAGUCACCCCAGUGGUGUUUGUGGAGAGGUAUUCCUUCAGAAAUGGAGAAGACAGAAAGCUGCAGAGGCAGAAGUUUUUGGGGAGCCAACCCUCACAAACCUUCCUAAAAACUAAAAGAGCUAUUACUGAGUCUCAGCGACUCUUGCCACGAUCAGCUCUUCCCAGAAGAGAAGGAAGACCAAGGAAAUGAUUGGCUCAGGAUGAGAAAUGAAGAUGGUCAUCUUGUGCUCAAGCAAACAGAAGUCCUCUGAUGAUCUCAUCAACCAAAUGAGGGGUUUUGACCAAGUGAUGCUCUUGAAAGGAGUGAAAGAAGAGGAUGUGGUAAAUUGUCUUCAGAGAAAAAGCUUCUCAAAAGAUCUUAAAACAGCUUGAAGAAUGGUCUGGGAUCUUAGGACUGGGAGAUCUCACUUGCACCCAGUUAACCUCCAUAGAGAACAUUUAUCAGAAGCGCUGUCUGGGUAGGGCAAGAAACAUCAUCAAGGAUGCCUUUCACCCUAACCAUGGACCUUUCACCCUCCUUCCAUCCGGCAGGCGUUACAGGAGCCUACGCUCUCGAACUAGUAGACUCAGGAAGAGCUUCUUCCACGAGGCUGUGACACUCCUGAACACCACACCACCAAUCUAUCCUGCACCUCCUCUUUUACUGCACUGGUCACAGUACUUUACAUACAUGUAUUGCACUACUCAUAUUUUGCACAGACUGCACAUGGUUAAAUCCAUUACACUAUAAACUGUCUAAAGCUGUUACUGUACAAGCACAGUAAACUAUUUCUACAAUAAAUAUAAUUGCACUACUAUUAUUUUGCAUAUAAUAAAUUGUUAAACUAUACUUUUGCACACUCAUUCAACUGUAUUUAUUACCACUGUUCUCAAGUUCCUGCUAUUCAUAAUGUAUAUAUAAUUCUUCUUUGCUCUGUUCAUAAUGUACAUACAAUCCCUACAUUACAUUCAUAUUUAUAUUCUGUAUAUACUCUGAUCAAUAUUGUAUAUAGCAACUCCACUGUAAAUUCUGUAUAUCAUAGCUUUACUUACUCUGCACUUUUAUGUAUAUAAAACACGGUAGCACUUUAUUUUACAGUCCUGUUCCUCAUGUACAUACUAUGUACUUAUUAUAGUAAUUACAAUAACUAUGUAAUAACUAGUUACU